rnacentral:rRNA from 1 species
UUCCAGACUCCUACGGGAGGCAGCAGUGGGGAAUAUUGGGCAAUGGGCGCAAGCCUGACCCAGCAACGCCGCGUGAAGGAAGAAGGCUUUCGGGUUGUAAACUUCUUUUAAGAGGGAAGAGCAGAAGACGGUACCUCUUGAAUAAGCUCCGGCUAACUACGUGCCAGCAGCCGCGGUAAUACGUAGGGAGCGAGCGUUAAUCGGAAUUACUGGGCGUAAAGGGUGUGCAGGCGGCUGAGUAAGACAGAUGUGAAAUCCCCGGGCUUAACCUGGGAACCGCAUAUGUGACUGCUUGGCUAGAGUGCGUCAGAGGGAGGUGGAAUUCCACGUGUAGCAGUGAAAUGCGUAGAUAUGUGGAAGAACACCGAUGGCGAAGGCAGCCUCCUGGGACGCAACUGACGCUCAUACACGAAAGCGUGGGGAGCAAACAGGAUUAGAUACCCGAGUA